CACUGACUAGACCCGGACCCUGCUCUCCGACGCCGGAUCCACGACGGGAUGUGAGAAAAAGACAGAGAGCUCAACAUACCGAGCGGAUGGACAGCCAGUUUCCCAGGUCUCAAUGCUGCUGACCCACCGGGUUCCUUCUGCAGAACGUGUCAUGUCCCCAAGUCGGGUGUCUGCCGUCCCACCCGAAACGGGGGCCAUCGUUCAAACAAAAUAAAUCACCCACUUAAGAUGGAGAUGGGAUCACUGGUGGGCCUCAGGAUUUCUCCCCCUCAGAAGGCAGUGGAGGUGGAGCCUAAUCGUCGCCUGAACCUGCUUCAGUUUAGCUUGCUUCUUCUCUUUCUCAGUCUCCAAAGUGAUGAGUUCAUUUCCCACCUUCAACAGCUGCUUCCUCUUAUUCUCCAUCUCCUGCUGAACUUUCC